GACGAACGCUGGCGGCGUGCUUAACACAUGCAAGUCGAACGGUAAGGCCCUUCGGGGUACACGAGUGGCGAACGGGUGAGUAACACGUGGGUGAUCUGCCCUGCACUUCGGGAUAAGCCUGGGAAACUGGGGCUAAUACCGGAUAGGACCACUGCCUGCAUGGGUGGUGGUGGAAAGCUUUUGCGGUGUGGGAUGGGCCCGCGGCCUAUCAGCUUGUUGGUGGGGUGAUGGCCUACCAAGGCGACGACGGGUAGCCGGCCUGAGAGGGUGACCGGCCACACUGGGACUGAGAUACGGCCCAGACUCCUACGGGAGGCAGCAGUGGGGAAUAUUGCACAAUGGGCGCAAGCCUGAUGCAGCGACGCCGCGGGAGGGAUGACGGCCUUCGGGUUGUAAACCUCUUUCAGCACCGACGAAGCGCAAGUGACGGUAGGUGCAGAAGAAGGACCGGCCAACUACGUGCCAGCCGCCGCAGUAA
rnacentral:rRNA from 1 species